rnacentral:rRNA from 1 species
AUUGAACGCUGGCGGCAUGCCUUACACAUGCAAGUCGAACGGCAGCACGGGGCAACCUGGUGGCGAGUGGCGAACGGGUGAGUAAUGCAUCGGAACGUACCUUUCAGUGGGGGAUAACGUAGCGAAAGUUACGCUAAUACCGCAUAUUCUGUGAGCAGGAAAGCAGGGGAUCGCAAGACCUUGCGCUGAUUGAGCGGCCGAUGUCAGAUUAGCUAGUUGGUGAGGUAAAGGCUCACCAAGGCGACGAUCUGUAGCGGGUCUGAGCGGAUGAUCCGCCACACUGGAACUGAGACACGGUCCAGACUCCUACGGGAGGCAGCAGUGGGGAAUUUUGGACAAUGGGGGCAACCCUGAUCCAGCCAUGCCGCGUGAGUGAAGAAGGCCUUCGGGUUGUAAAGCUCUUUCGGCCGGGAGGAAAUCGCACGGGCUAAUACCCUGUGUGGAUGACGGUACCGGAAUAAGAAGCACCGGCUAACUACGUGCCAGCCGCCGCAGUAAUAC